rnacentral:rRNA from 1 species
AGAGUUUGAUCCUGGCUCAGAACGAACGCUGGCGGCAGGCUUAACACAUGCAAGUCGAACGGACGCGAGCAAUCGCGUCAGUGGCAGACGGGUGAGUAACGCGUGGGAACAUACCCUCCGGUUCGGAAUAGCUCAGGGAAACUUGGAUUAAUACCGGAUACGGCUGAGAGGCGAAAGAUUGAUCGCCGGAGGAUUGGCCCGCGUUCGAUUAGCUAGUUGGUGAGGUAACGGCUCACCAAGGCGAUGAUCGAUAGCUGGUCUGAGAGGAUGAUCAGCCACAUUGGGACUGAGACACGGCCCAAACUCCUACGGGAGGCAGCAGUGGGGAAUAUUGGACAAUGGGCGCAAGCCUGAUCCAGCCAUGCCGCGUGAGUGAUGACGGCCUUAGGGUUGUAAAGCUCUUUCGCUCGGGACGAUAAUGACGGUACCGAGAUAAGAAGCCCCGGCUAACUUCGUGCCAGCAGCCGCGGUAAUACGAAGGGGGCUAGCGUUGUUCGGAAUUACUGGGCGUAAAGCGCGUGUAGGCGGGUCUUUAAGUCAGGGGUGAAAUGCCAAGGCUCAACCUUGGAACUGCCUUUGAUACUGGAGAUCUUGAGUCCGGGAGAGGUGAGUGGAACUGCGAGUGUAGAGGUGAAA